AUGUCUUGAACAUCAGCAUUUCCCAGCAUUAUAUCUGUACAUGCUCAGAGCUUCCAAUUGUGAACUUGUUUGUACUGAUGCUUCCUUCCUCUAAUGCUCAUCUCUUCAAUGUGCAAUUAUGUUUUAUGGUGUACAUACAUUGUAAAAAUUUACAAUUAAUAUUGGUUAAAAAUCUCAGUAUAUACAUGUAUACAUUCCACUAUUACUUUUGUUUUAUUUUGGUUUCAAGUAAUUUGGUUGUGUAUAUUGGGGUAUUAUGUGUAAAAUCUCUUUUUUGUUUAUGAUUAUACGGAUGGACCAUUCCUCUUGUUAACGAUCUCUUCAUGCAUUCAUUUUCUGGUGUUGGUUUGUUUAUACUUUGUUACAAAGAAUUAUCAUUAUUUUUUUUUUAAUCAUAUUGGUUUUCUAAUUAGUUAAGAUUGAAAUAAAGCAUUUAAUGUUGU
rnacentral:sRNA from 1 species